UAUAAAGUUGUAGAGUCUGCGUUGGUACAGAUGCCAACAACUGUCAUUCCUGUGGCUGGCUAAAUUGGGCAUCCCCGCUUCUUGGGCAUCUAGUAACUCGCGUGAUGAGUCCUGCAUGGUUGGUUCUUCCGGAAGUGGAAGAAGUUUUUGUGGCUGCCUCUGUUUCUAUUUUGAUAUGCAGUGAUGUCAUUCCAGUUGCUUCCCCUCCCCCCCCCCCGCCCCUCUUGUACAGCCCGAAACGGUAACUUGGAAGUGGCCUUCUCAGUGCAGAGUUCUUUUGGCACAAGAUCACGCCUAGAAUGUUUUCCCUGCUUUUGAGACUCGGAGAUGAGCAAAAGUUUCCAUCCAUGAAGGCAGGAAAAAAAAAUCUCGCAGAUCGGGCAGUCAGCAACCUCUCCAGCUGUGACUGAGAAUGGAGAAUCCAAAAGACAUUAUUUUGCAAGAGACAAUAAAUGACUUUGUCUCGGCGGCAAAGGGCGCGAUACGCUGCUCGUGCGCACAGCAACUUGCUAAAGAUUUGCAUUUGUGAACUUAAUCGAGUUCGGUUUUUAUUAUGGACCACAGGGCAUUCAAAAGCCAAAAAAAAGAAUUAAAAAAAAUAAAAUUAAUGACCUAUGUAAAAUCU